UACAGAGGGGGCAAGCGUUGUUCGGAAUUACUGGGCGUAAAGGGCGCGUAGGCGGUGUGUCAAGUCAGGCGUGAAAGCCCCGGGCUCAACCUGGGAACCGCGCUUGAGACUGGCACGCUAGAGUUCGGGAGAGGAUGGUGGAAUUCCCAGUGUAGAGGUGAAAUUCGUAGAUAUUGGGAAGAACACCGAUGGCGAAGGCAGCCAUCUGGACCGACACUGACGCCGAGGCGCGAAAGCGUGGGGAGCAAACAGG
rnacentral:rRNA from 1 species